UACCAUCAUCGCCUCGUUUCCUACUCUUUAGACAGCUCUUCCGGUAUUUUCUCUUGCUUCCACCUCUCUUGACGCCCUUGUGAGAAGCUCGGUUCUUGCCUCUCCUCAUGCCAUGAGUCUUUAGCUUGCGGCUGGUCGACAUUGUAAUUUCUGCCAAUAUGAGGGGCUUUGCAAGGCCGGCAGGGCCGGGAGUCCAUGUAUUUAAGGACUUGGCCAUUGUGACCGCAAAGGGGUGUGGCUUAGCAGCCGGCUGUGGAUCUCUUGUGACAUCACUAGCCUUUGCUACACCUUAGUGGUACAUAAGUAAUAAGGAAGCAGUCUCUUCAGUGCUGGUCUGGUCCCCUUUUUAGGUUAAAGAAGGCUUUUCAGACAGUUAUCCUUAUCCAAGAACUGAGCAAGCAUGUAGGAGGCUCCUAGCAAAGCUGGUGGAGUAGAAAAGAGGAGGUAGCUUAACUCCCCAUCUCAUAUUUCUCAUGUUUACAGGAUUAAGACUGCAGGUGCACACUACCACAUCCAGCGCCUAUAAAUACCUGGGGAAACAAAAUAAGUUCCCAGGAAGAGUAAAAUUGCAUGUUCCGGCUAAAGAGGGAUUGGGACACCUGAAGAGAUUGGAGAAAUCCCUCAGGAAAGAGUUCCAUAAUGAUGGCACUCUGCUCGUCUUAGCAGCAGGCUCUUCUCAACUGUAAACGGUUGGUUUGGAACGUGUGGUCCCAGUGGUCCUGCUUCACCCUAUCCAGAAGCAGUUGCCCUGCUUUGAGGAGCCUG